rnacentral:rRNA from 1 species
UACGUAGGGAGCAAGCGUUGUCCGGAAUCAUUGGGCGUAAAGCGCGCGUAGGUGGCCUCAUAAGUCCGCUGUGAAAGUCAAAGGCUCAACCUUUGAAAGCCGGUGGAUACUGUGAGGCUAGAGUACGGAAGAGGCGAGUGGAAUUCCCGGUGUAGCGGUGGAAUGCGCAGAUAUCAGGAGGAACACCAAUAGCGAAGGCAGCUCGCUGGGACGUUACUGACACUGAGGCGCGAAAGCGUGGGGAGCGAACAGG